rnacentral:rRNA from 1 species
UAUCACUAAGCGGAGCAUACGGGUCCCUGCCUUGCCCUAGGUCUGGUAACUUAGAAGAACGUAUACUUUAGUUUGGCCCCCGUCUAUGUUCCUUGGAAAAGGACGUCAUAGAGGGUGAGAAUCCCGUGCGAUGGGGUGUCCAUUCUUUGUAAGUUUCCUUCGACGAGUCGAGUUGUUUGGGAAUGCAGCUCUAAGUGGGUGGUAAAUUCCAUCUAAAGCUAAAUAUUGGCGAGAGACCGAUAGCGAACAAGUACAGUGAUGGAAAGAUGAAAAGAACUUUGAAAAGAGAGUGAAAAAGUACGUGAAAUUGUUGAAAGGGAAGGGUAUUUGAUCAGACUUGGUAUUAGAAUAUGGCAGCUCUCGGGUUGUCCUCUAUUCUUUUACUGGGCCAGCAUCGGUUCGGAUGGCAAGAUAAUUACGUUUGAAUGUGGCUCCUCGGAGUGUUAUAGCUUUCGUAGAUAUUGCCUGUCUGGACCGAGGACUGCGUCUUUUGACUAGGAUGCUGGCGUAAUGAUUAAAUACC